GCUGCGCGCGCAGGAAAUUUGAGAAGGGCUGUCCUUAGUACGAGAGGACCGGGACGGACGAACCUCUGGUGUGUCAGUUGUACUGCCAAGUGCACCGCUGAUUAGCUACGUUCGGAUGGGAUAACCGCUGAAAGCAUCUAAGCGGGAAGCCUGCUUCAAGAUGAGAUUUCCAUACCCGUGAGGGUUGAAGGCCCCCAGCUAGACCACUGGGUUGAUAGGCUGGAUGUGGAAGCGAGGACUGAAGACUCGUGAAGCUGACCAGUACUAAUAGGCCGACAACUUACACCACA
rnacentral:rRNA from 1 species